AUGGUCAAGAAUUACCAUAUUUCUCUAUGGGAGCCUCAACUCCAGGAGGGCCAGAGUUAUGUUGAGGUUGUAAAUACUCUUUCAAGUUAAUAUUUCAGAAGGGGACCAUAAAAUAAUUAACAAACAAUUGUCAGAGAUUCCUCCUUAUAUUUAUCAAUUCACUGCAUUUGAGGACAUCCUCAGUGGAGUUGCUACCACAAAUGUUUUAAUUGAUGUCAUUGGAGAGUUCAUUGACAUAGAGAUGAGCUAGCCUGAAUCAAUGUCGAAGAAGGUCGUCUU